AGAGUUUGAUCAUGGCUCAGGACGAACGCUGGCGGCGUGCCUAAUACAUGCAAGUUGAACGAUGAUUUCUGGUACUUGUAUCAGAAUGAAGAGUAGCGAACGGGUGAGUAACGCGUGGGUAACCUACCUCUUAGCGGGGGACAACUAUUGGAAACGAUAGCUAAUACCGCAUAACAAUAUUAAACACAUGUUUAACAUUUGAAAGUACCAAUUGGUACACUAGGAGAUGGACCCGCGUUGUAUUAGCUAGUUGGUAGUGUAAUGGACUACCAAGGCGAUGAUACAUAGCCGACCUGAGAGGGUGAUCGGCCACAUUGGGACUGAGACACGGCCCAAACUCCUACGGGAGGCAGCAGUAGGGAAUCUUCGGCAAUGGACGAAAGUCUGACCGAGCAACGCCGCGUGAGUGAAGAAGGUUUUCGGAUCGUAAAACUCUGUUGUUAGAGAAGAACGUUGUGUAGAGUGGAAAAUUACACAAGUGACGGUAUCUAACCAGAAAGGGACGGCUAACUACGUGCCAGCAGCCGCGGUAAUACGUAGGUCCCGAGCGUUGUCCGGAUUUAUUGGGCGUAAAGCGAGCGCAGGUGGUUUAAUAAGUCUGAUGUAAAAGGCAGUGGCUCAACCAUUGUGUGCAUUGGAAACUGUUAGACUUGAGUGCAGUAGAGGAGAGUGGAAUUCCAUGUGUAGCGGUGAAAUGCGUAGAUAUAUGGAGGAACACCGGUGGCGAAAGCGGCUCUCUGGACUGUAACUGACACUGAGGCUCGAAAGCGUGGGUAGCAAACAGGAUUAGAUACCCUGGUAGUCCACGCCGUAAACGAUGAGUGCUAGUUGUUUGGGGCUAUCCAGCCCUAAGUGACGCAGCAAACGCAUUAAGCACUCCGCCUGGGGAGUACGACCGCAAGGUUGAAACUCAAAGGAAUUGAUGGGGCCCACACAGCGUGGAGCAUGUGGUUUAAUUCGAAGCACGCGAAGAACCCUUACCAGGUCUUGACAUACCAGUGCUAUUUCUUAGAG
rnacentral:rRNA from 1 species